GAAGUGGGCGAAAAAAAGGUCCGAGAGCUGGACCUGGACUUGUUUCAUUCUCAGGCUGGGGUUGGGUUCUCGGGGGACGUGAAGCUUAAUGGUUGGUGUAAGGUUUAAAAUGGAGAGAAGAUAAGAUGGAAUGGAGGAGAGAAUCAGCUCACAAUUUACAGAAGGCAAGAGAAUCUUUACAAAGUGAAGUAGAGUUCCACUGCAAGAAAAAUUAUGCUGGGCAUCUGGUCAGAGUAGUUCCCAGAUGGCCAUGGUACUGGGUAACAGCCUCAAGCUGGGCUCAUUUUGCAAGCUGGUGGAAUAACUCCUAGGAAAUCAAAGACUUCCAGGAAGACUUCUGGCACAAAAAAAGAACCUGCUUCCAUGCCCCAAAUUAGAGAGAGACACGGACACUCAGAAUCCGAAGCAGGCUCCAGGCUCUGAGCUGUCAGCACAGAGCCCGACGCCGGGCUCACACUCACAAUAAAAAAUAUUUUUAUUAGUGAACUGCCAGAUACAUCUCUCCAUGGUUUUUUUCCCCUACAUUUUAUGGCUAUGUACCCUUCAAUCAUCUUUUAUAUGACGGUGGCUUUGUAAUACUCUAUGGAGAGAAUAGGAAGAUAAUUUAGUCUUUUCUCUGGUGUAGUUGAUCAGUAUUUGAUUUUUAUUACUGAUAGCUCAGAAGAAUUUUUUUUUCAUCCUCGCAGUUCAUUGUUGGUUAUACACACACAUACACGCUCACACACGCUUAUUGUAAUCAUGUAUUACGAGUUUAUGUUGUCUUCAUUUAUGUCAACUUGAGGUCAAAUCAGAAAUUUAAGUAUUUUUAAUGAGCUUAUAUGAUUUUCUUCACAAAUUGAUUAUCAAAAAAAUUCACGGGCCUGUUUAUUACUUUCAUUUGCAAUUUAUCUCUUCAUUUUAGACAAUUACUGUCUUUGUUAUCUGAAAAAAAUUAGUACUAUUUACUUCUCAAUGUCAAGAUAAUUUCUUUUGAUUUUCUCACUCAUCUUUACCACUUUAAUUUCAUAUUUAUUGAUUUUUUACCCUCAAUUUUAUAUCAGUACUUUAGUAAAAUAAAUUACGAAUGACCUGAGAAGGUGCCCACUAUAUACAUCCACAUCAGGAGUUUGUAAUUUAUCACAUCUUUAAUUGAAAUGUUCCAAAGUGUCUUUCUAAAUUGUAGUUAAAAAUGUUAUAUUUGGGUUUUAUCAGCUGUUGAAUAAGUUCUUACAUCUCAUUUGUGUUUUGGUUUGUUUUUGAGUCAUUGAAAAUAUAUUUUAGAGUCCUUAAAUUUUCUUUGAGCCUGUGUUGCAAGGCUUGAACACUUUUAUAAUGGGCAGACCAUUUCAUUAUAGUUAGAUGCUUUAAGGAAAAAUCCAACUUGGCAUAUAUGUUUAAAAGAUCAAGAAAAAAAGAUUCCAUAUAGUAGUCGAACCUGAAAAUAAGAUACACAACAGUCUCAGAUUCUUGAAGUAGUUAACCUCAGAUGCUUUGAGGCAGCCUUGCCUCUAACAAAAUCAAGGUAGUGAUUUGUGCAUGGCUCAUGUGCUGCAGUGGUUUUUAAAGAACACGCAGCCCUUUGUUCUAAUCAUCAUAAUAGCUGUGCUGACAUGUGACUGUAAAUGCCCAACUGCAGGUUGAAAUGGCUCAAAUCUUUUUUCACCUUGUUGAAUAAAGUCAGACAAAUGUU